GUUUAAAGGAAAAUUUAGGUAGAGAGAUGGCACAUAAAUGGUAUGCAACUAGAAUAGCACAUGAUGCCGUUGAGGGGCAGUUACUGAUUAAGUACAGUUGUUACGGUCUCCUAUGUGCCAGGCAUGUGUGAGGCACUGGCCCCGAGCUGACCACUUGACUGAAGCAAUGGAUCUGAAUGCACAAACAGUGGAAAGAUUAAGGAAGGAUGUUUCAGGGUUAGAUUAUGAAGCCCAACUAAGCAGUCUGACUCCAGGACAAUUAAUUCUAAGAUGCAGGAAGGACUGGUGGAAGUGAGGACAUAAAUCAGGAAGUUAUGAUAACUUAGCAAAACAAACUAUCCUCAAAUAUGCCUUGCUUUUCU
rnacentral:lncRNA from 1 species